AUUGAACGCUGGCGGAAUGCUUUACACUUGCAAGUCGAACGGUAGAGGGGGCAACCCCUCGAGAGUGGCGAACGGGUGAGUAAUAUAUCGGAACGUGCCCAGUCGUGGGGGAUAACGUAGCGAAAGUUACGCUAAUACCGCAUACGAACUAAGGAUGAAAGCGGGGGAUCGCAAGACCUCGCGCGAUUGGAGCGGCCGAUAUCAGAUUAGGUAGUUGGUGGGGGAAAGGCUCACCAAGCCAACGAUCUGUAGCUGGUCUGAGAGGACGACCAGCCACACUGGAACUGAGACACGGUCCAGACUCCUACGGGAGGCAGCAGUGAGGAAUUUUGGACAAUGGACGCAAGUCUGAUCCAGCCAUUCCGCGUGCAGGAUGAAGGCCCUCGGGUUGUAAACUGCUUCUGUACGGAACGAAAAGGUCUCUCUUAAUACGGGGGACUCAUGACGGUACCGUAAGAAUAAGCACCGGCUAACUACGUGCCAGCCGCCGCGGUAAAAC
rnacentral:rRNA from 1 species